rnacentral:rRNA from 1 species
ACAAGCGGUGGAGCAUGUGGUUUAAUUCGAUGCAACGCGAAGAACCUUACCUGGUCUUGACAUCCACGGAAGUUUUCAGAGAUGAGAAUGUGCCUUCGGGAACCGUGAGACAGGUGCUGCAUGGCUGUCGUCAGCUCGUGUUGUGAAAUGUUGGGUUAAGUCCCGCAACGAGCGCAACCCUUAUCCUUUGUUGCCAGCGGUCCGGCCGGGAACUCAAAGGAGACUGCCAGUGAUAAACUGGAGGAAGGUGGGAUGACGUCAAGUCAUCAUGGCCCUUACGACCAGGGCUACACACGUGCUACAAUGGCGCAUACAAAGAGAAGCGACCUCGCGAGAGCAAGCGGACCUCAUAAAGUGCGUCGUAGUCCGGAUUGGAGUCUGCAACUCGACUCCAUGAAGUUGGAAUCGCUAGUAAUCGCGGAUCAGCACGCCGCGGUGAAUACGUUCCCGGGCCUU